GAUGAACGCUGGCGGCAUGCCUUACACAUGCAAGUCGAACGGUAACGGGCCUUCGGGUGCCGACGAAUGGCGAACGGGUGAGUAAUGCAUCGGAACGUACCUUUCAGUGGGGGAUAACGUAGCGAAAGUUACGCUAAUACCGCAUAUUCUGUGCGCAGGAAAGCAGGGGAUCGCAAGACCUUGCGCUGAUUGAGCGGCCGAUGUCAGAUUAGCUAGUUGGUGAGGUAAAGGCUCACCAAGGCGACGAUCUGUAGCGGGUCUGAGAGGAUGAUCCGCCACACUGGAACUGAGACACGGUCCAGACUCCUACGGGAGGCAGCAGUGGGGAAUUUUGGACAAUGGGGGCAACCCUGAUCCAGCCAUGCCGCGUGAGUGAAGAAGGCCUUCGGGUUGUAAAGCUCUUUCGGCCGGGAAGAAAUCGCACGGGCUAAUACCCUGUGUGGAUGACGGUACCGGAAUAAGAAGCACCGGCUAACUACGUGCCAGCCGCCGCGGUAAUAC
rnacentral:rRNA from 1 species